rnacentral:rRNA from 1 species
AUUGAACGCUGGCGGCAGGCCUAACACAUGCAAGUCGAACGGUAACAGGAAACAGCUUGCUGUUUCGCUGACGAGUGGCGGACGGGUGAGUAAUGUCUGGGAAACUGCCUGAUGGAGGGGGAUAACUACUGGAAACGGUAGCUAAUACCGCAUAACGUCGCAAGACCAAAGAGGGGGACCUUCGGGCCUCUUGCCAUCGGAUGUGCCCAGAUGGGAUUAGCUAGUAGGUGGGGUCACGGCUCACCUAGGCGACGAUCCCUAGCUGGUCUGAGAGGAUGACCAGCCACACUGGAACUGAGACACGGUCCAGACUCCUACGGGAGGCAGCAGUGGGGAAUAUUGCACAAUGGGCGCAAGCCUGAUGCAGCCAUGCCGCGUGUAUGAAGAAGGCCUUCGGGUUGUAAAGUACUUUCAGCGGGGAGGAAGGGAGUAAAGUUAAUACCUUUGCUCAUUGACGUUACCCGCAGAAGAAGCACCGGCUAACUCCGUG